GCCGCCUUAGUGCAGUGGUUAGCACGUUUCAUUGUGGCAUACAAUCUGAAGAAACCCCUGUUCGAAUCAGGGAGGCGGCA